GAGAGAAAGAGAGGGAGGGGCGCGGACGGUGAGGAGCUGUCGGCUGCCUUUCCCACCACACCCAGAUAGUGGUCCCUCCGCACCUCCUCCUGCCGCUCUCCAAGCCAGCUGCGGUUGUUCCUCCAAGCCUCUAGCAAGGCUCUCAAGUGCUGCAUCUCAGAAGUACUAAACAAAAGGACUGCACUGCAAGUCAGGCUAUUAGUAACGAGACCAAUUCUGAACAAGUUGCUUUGUCAGAAUGAUUACCUUUUGCUACUCCUGUCUCUAAAUGGGAAGAUUAUCAGAAAGCAAUAGCUAAAAACCUCUGAUGCAGACAUGCAUUUGGAACUCUACGGGGCAGGGGGAAGUGGCAUCGGCAAACUUAUUCAGAAAGAGAAAGCAGCCAGUGGGGAAAGGACUGUGCACUCUCACAUCUGAGCCACUCCUGUCUAUUCCUGAAGUUGCUUUUCUGUUUUAUUUUCUUAAAGGAUAAUAAAAGAAAGAAUAAUGUUACACAUACUUGCAUGUAAUACUUAGUUUGGCCAUAAGCACAAUACCAGAAGAAAUGCAGAGAGUAGCACCUGAGAAAUGAAGGUAUUAUGCAGUGCAGGGUCUUUCAUGACUGCAUUGCUUUUGUUUCCCUGUGGCGAUCUGUGCCAACUGUGCACAGCCCACAUUAACUUCUGGGCAGCUGAGGAGGAAUGUAGGCUGCUAUGUGAUUUGUUGAAUGAGAUGUAGUGAAUAAGAAGAGCCUUUCCUGACAAUUGUUAUUAGCACUCACCUAUAUUUUCCCCAUCUAUUAAUUGCAUUCUUACUGGUUUCUAAGUAUUAUUAUUGAUUGAUUGAUUGAUUGAUGUACACAGACAGGUGUUAUUGACUGGUUUGUUUUAUCCAGACAUCGAGUCCUUCCCAAGGACCUGGGAUGGAUGAAUUUUAUUAUCAAUGUUGUUGCUGUUAUUGUAGAUAUUGUUGCAGAAUAUAGGCUGUUCCCAGUAAAGUUGCUUUUUGUAAUUG